CCGCCCUUAGCUCAGCCGGAUAGAGCAACGGCCUUCUAAGCCGUAGGUCACUGGUUCGAAUCCAGUAGGGCGGGCCA
rnacentral:tRNA from 1 species